rnacentral:lncRNA from 1 species
AUUUAUUUUAGAUUCAAAGUACAACGCUGCAUUAAAUGAAAUAUUUUUCUAGAAAGUCAUCAGUUUAUAAAAGAUUAUAUAUACAUAAAUCCCUUAUUUCGUUCCGUUUAUAUUACAAGUGGUUUUAGUUGACAUUUUCAGUCAAAUUCUAGGUUUAAAUGAAAACAAAAUAAAUGGAAUUAUGAAUAGAAAUGAACAUUGCCAAACUGUUGUGCUGCCGAAGGAAAAUAGCUUUUCUGUGUUUGGGUGAUUGUAAAACAGGCUUGGAUGUUGUUGCUUCAUUUAUAAACUCAUGUUGACACAACUACCUAGUUAUAUGCAACGCAUUGGAUAUCUUCAUUUCUACAUUUCUACUCUUUGGUAUUAGUGGACCUUUCAUUAUUCAAUCCAAGUAUACUUUAGUAAAUUGUAUACUGGUAAUACUUUAAUGUAGGGGCUUUACACUAAAAGACUAACACAUUUAUAAGCUAUAUAUUAUACCUUCAUAUGCCCUACAUAAACGUUCACGUUUAUGCUCACAACUGCAGGUCGGUAGAUGUUGCGGUCCCCUGUGGCUCAGUUGGUAGAGCAUGGUGUUUGCAACGCCAGGGUUGUGGGUUUGAUUCCCACGGGGGACCAGUAUGGAAAAAAAAAAAAUGUAUGAAAUGUAUGCAUUCACUAUUGUAAGUCGCUCUGGAUAAGAGCGUCUGCUAAAUGACUAAAAUGUAAGUGUCACUGCAUGUCUUAUGUCAACUUACGGUUGUUAAUCUUAGCUGACAUUUGCAUGUAUAAAUGCUUAUGUAGUGCUUAUGACAGUGUAAUGAACUGUUAUGAAUGUGAUGUUUCCCUAUGUAUGUAGAGCCCCAUACACUACAGUGUUAAGUAGCCCCUAUUUUCUGUGGUAUUGGCUCUAGCCCUGCUCUCUGCCAAACAAGGUGAAAGAUUGAGAUGACAGAUGAAGAACAGUUUACAUGCAUCCUAUAAUUAUACAUCUUUCAAUGUAGCCAGUGUUGUUCUAAUGUCUGUUUAUAUUUUGGAUUUAAUCGAUGCUUCUGUCCAAAAUUGUUUACAAAAGCUGAAAUAUUCUGUAUGGAUGUACAAAAUUAGAUUUAUCGUAAUAAACUGCAAAGUGACUUUG